GGCCGGGGUGUGUACAGUGCUGGUACGAAUUUAAAUAAAGCUCGCGUCCCAGCAAGCCGACCCUGCCUUCUUCCUUCCACACUCCUGAAC